AUUGAACGCUGGCGGCAGGCCUAACACAUGCAAGUCGAACGGUAACAGGAAGAAGCUUGCUUCUUUGCUGACGAGUGGCGGACGGGUGAGUAGUGUCUGGGAAACUGCCUGAUGGAGGGGGAUAACUACUGGAGACGGUAGCUAAUACCGCAUAACGUCGCAAGACCAAAGAGGGGGACCUUCGGGCCUCUUGCCAUCGGAUGUGCCCAGAUGGGAUUAGCUAGUAGGUGGGGUAACGGCUCACCUAGGCGACGAUCCCUAGCUGGUCUGAGAGGAUGACCAGCCACACUGGAACUGAGACACGGUCCAGACUCCUACGGGAGGCAGCAGUGGGGAAUAUUGCACAAUGGGCGCAAGCCUGAUGCAGCCAUGCCGCGUGUAUGAAGAAGGCCUUCGGGUUGUAAAGUACUUUCAGCGGGGAGGAAGGGAGUAAAGUUAAUACCUUUGCUCAUUGACGUUACCCGCAGAAGAAGCACCGGCUAACUCCGUG
rnacentral:rRNA from 1 species